rnacentral:lncRNA from 1 species
UUGGAUUUCCCAAAAAACAAUCUAUUGUUUUUCCUUUGGUGUCAUCAGACGCCUCCCUCUCUUUCUUUAGAAAGGGAACUCUCUUUUGGCUUCAUCUCCAUUUUUGACAAAGCUUGAGCUCCACUCCUCGAAAUUUCAGAUUUGGCUUGACCAUUUUCCAGCAAGUUUCCUUCUUCCCAUGGCGUGUGGCAGAAGAUCGUCUACUUCUAUGUUCAAAAAUACAUCAGAUCCUUACGCUUCAGUCAAGACUCACUAUUUUGGUCAUAAGAAAUAAAUCGCUUCUGAAAAGUUUUCUGCCAUGGUAUGAUGCUCGAAGUUCGAAGGAGUUUUGUGACUCGAUUUUGAAAUAAAUCUUCCCGCCUAAAGAACCCUCGGAACCGUAGUUUUUACUCUAUAAAUGCGAGCCUUAGGCAUCCGUUUUGGGGGGGGAUUUUUUGGGGAGAUAAUUUUUAGUCAAAUAUUAUAUAACCAAACUGCUGCAAAACAUCUCUGUUACUCUCGAAAAUAUCCAGCUUCUUAUUGUUUCGUUGUCUUCGGAGUCUUGCGCGUGGACGAGUGUGAAUUAGUUCGAGUUCCAGUGU